GACUACGGCCAUACUACCCUGAACAAGCCCAAUCCCGUUUGAUCUCGGAAGCUAAGCAGGGUUGGGCCUGGUUAGUACUUGGAUGGGAGACCACCUAAGAAGACCAGGUGCUGUAGGCG
rnacentral:rRNA from 1 species